UUACGGCCAGAUCACGUUGAAACACAAAUUUCCGUACGAUCACCGAAGUUAAGCAACGUCGAGGCAGGUUAGUACCUAGAUGGGUGACCACUUGCGAAUACCAGGUGCUGUAAG